ensembl:lncRNA
UGGAGACGCUCCCCGCGGGCCUCGAGUCCUGCCUCCCGCACUGCGGUCCUGGGGAACCUGGAAAAGGCGCUUUCCCUCCUACGGAUGUCUUUCUUUUGUACACAGUUGGCGUUCUGUUUUGCUCGGAGCAUUUUUGGUAGCACCCCGAGGUUGGGUAACACCCAGGGCUUGGCCAACCCCAUCGUGCUCUUUUCUCCGCUUGUAACAUGUGUGACCACAAAGCCACCGCAGGCAUCACGUGGGUCGCUCAGCGGCUCGGACGCAGACACGCCUCUGGCUUCCCCUGGAGGGCGGGGCUUCGCCUUUACCCUUUCCUGCCGGUCACUGGCCGUCAGGACGAAAGGACUGGAGGAAAGAAGGAACUGCCCACUUCCUUUAAGAAGCUGUGAAGCAAAUGGCUCUUCCACCUUUAAAGUUUUCAGAAGGACUUUAUGCCCACUGUGGAUUGCCUGAAAAAUCCCAUGGACGGGGAAGCCUGGUGGGCUGCAGUCCGUGGGGUCGCUAAGAGUGGGACACGACUGAGAGACUUCACUUUCACUUUUCACUUUCAUUCAUUGGAGGAGGAAAUGGCAGCCCACUCCAGUGUUCUUGCCUGGAGAGUCCCAGGGACAGCGGGGCCUGGUGGGCUGCCGUCUAUGGGGUCGCACAGAGUCGGACACGACUGAAGCGACUUAACAGCAGCAGCAGCAGUGGAAAAACCAAAUACCACAAUACAGUUACAUCUCACGAUUUGUUAAUAUUUUGUUAAGUUUUUCCCUAAACAUCUGCUGCUAAGUCACUUCAGUCGUGUCCAAAACAUCUGCAGCCUUGGAAUAAUGUGAGUUUGGAUGGAGGGUGACGAGGAAUGGGCUGGUAUCCACUUUCCAGGCACCACCUUCGCGUUAGGACUCGGGGACCACAUGGACCCUACAGCUGACGCAGUUUGGAACUCUGGCCCCUACUCACAACAGGAAGGUUCAAAUGAGAUGAUAAAUUGUGGGAAGUUAGGAGGUUACUAAUCUGUCAUAAUACGGUUUAAAUGAGGCUCGAGUGGGAUUACCUGUCUUUCUGCAUCCUCACUAGCAGUAAAUUUUCUUGUUUUUAAAUCUGCCAAUUUAAUUGGUGAAAAUUCAAUUUCCUCGCUCUUUGAUAUUGCAUUUUGAAAAGUUGCCAGUGAAAGCGAAACAUUUUUUUCAUAUUCAUUAACCAUUUGUAUGGCCUCUUCCACAGUAAAACAUAAUUUAUCAAUCAAAUUUGCUAAUAAGGUCUGGGCUUUCUUUUUGUGUGUGGCAUUUCUCAUGUCAAAACUCAGAAACAAUCUCUUUCUACACACAGCUGGACAGGCUAAUAGUGAGACCGUUUGGGAUUUGAUUAGAGGUGUCUUUAACUUGAAACACACACUAGUAAACAUUUGGCAACUUCCCAG